rnacentral:lncRNA from 10 species
UGGUAAUCUAAGAUAGGAGAACACAGGUGGAACAGGUUUUGGUGAGAAGGAGGAGCACAGGUGGAACAGCUUUUGGGGAGACAAUCAGCAGUUUUAUUUGGGAUAUGUGAAGUUUUUGGUGUCUGGUAGACCUCCUGGUGGAGAAGCUGUGUAGCAGGGGCCCAUAUAAGCCUGGAGUUCAGGAGAAAGCCUGGGCUGGAGGUACACGUUGGGGAGUUGCUGACAGGUAGGUUUAUUUAAAAAACGAAGUCAAAUGAAAUCACUGAGGGAGUGAGGGUAGGGAGAAAGAGAACCAAAUAUUGAGGGUGGAGGCACUCUCACUUAAGAAGAUGGGGAGAACAGGAGGAACCUGCAAAGGAGAAUGAAAAGGAGUGGAGUCAGGUGUCUCGGCAGCCAAAGGAGGAAGUGGUCGCCUCUGACAGACUGUGCCGACAGGCCAAGUAAGGCACAGCUAAAGAAAUGUGUUACUGACAAGCCUGCAGGCCACAUGGCGAGAUGGAAAGCAAGCAGUAAAGACCAAAGAAACUCGUUGAGGACAAUGGAAGAUGGGCUCAGAAGAAAAUGGAUACAGCUGAAGCUAGAUGGGUCAUGGGUGAAAGCAGGACAGGACCUCAUUCUCCAACAGAUACCAAGUAAGCCCCCAACACUGCACAGGCUGCCACACUUGGCGAGGGAACCAGAGUCCCCAAUCUCCCUGCUACACAAAGUCAGUAGCUGUUUUGCUUGCAUUGAUGGGUAGGCAGCGGCUGGUGCCUCAGUGCCGUGAGGCGAUGUCCUCUACCCACAGCUCUGGAAGCCAACUCACCAUGCCAGGGAGGGCAACUUGCAACAUCAUGGUCACAAAGUGGCCACCCUACCAUUUCAGCAAAUGUCUUCCUAUGUCCAUUAACUAGGGGGAACUGGCUAACUCCAUACGCUUUUUAAAAGGUUAUUUACAUUUAAAUGAAAUUCAACAGCUUUUCUACAUUCAGAAGCUUCUAUAAACAGAGGCUGCGGCCUGGGAAGACUGUGGUUCUACCACUCCUGUUUCUAACAGGAAUCAAGUACUAUUUCCUUUUGUACCACU